GCCCGAGUGGCGGAAUUUUCGGUUAUACGCGUCGGCCUUAGGAGCCGAUGGGGGUAACACCCCGUGUGGGUUCGAGUCCCACCUCGGGCA
rnacentral:tRNA from 1 species